UUUCUAAAAUUCCAUAUCAUUAAGGGCUCGUUUGGAUCCCUGUAUAAGGGUUCUGUAUUGUAUUAAAUUAUAAGAGUACAAUGUUUGGGUAGGACCUUGUAUUGUAAUAGAUAUUACAGUCUUAAUUUUUAAUACAAUCUAUCCUGUAUUAUUCUAUGCUGAAUAAAAACAGUGUAUAAGAUUGUAUUGUAUUAUUUUGGACGGUGUUAGCCAGUACUCUCCCUCUCACCCAAACUUCUUCGUUUUCCCGUUCAGCCAUCGAUUCUCUGGCCGAUUUAGCCUGGAUUUCUCGGUGAAGAGGUUCUCCGGCAGAUCGAUCUCUCAGAUUCAUUUCUCAGUGAAAAGCAACUUCAUCUUCUCUAGCAUAUCAAUGGCUCAGAUUCAUUUGACCAGGUGUGCUGUCCGCUGCUAGCACUCAAUUCUUCUCUGUACAACCCAGAAAGAGCCGAGGUUCUGCUAUUUUGCUUUAGAUAUGGAUAUGCAACAUUAACUUGGAGUUGGCUAAGGAGUUGAAAUCGAUGGGACUUUCGGUUGAUGAUCAACUUGAUGCAUUGACGUACAUGUUGAAGAAGCCAGAAUAUGUAGCAACCUUCAAGUCAAUAGAUGGAGAAAUUCGAGAGCCUUUUGUGACAAGAGUUCUCAGAGAAGUUAGAUCAAGUCGUUGAUAGAGAACUUUGGUUUUAUUGGUUGAACUUUAAUGUGGUCGGUUGAACUUUGAUUUGGUCGGUUGAACUUUAGUUUUAUUGGUUGAACUUUGAUUUGGUCAGUUGAACUUUGGUUUUAUUGGUUGAACUUUGAUUUGGUCGGUUGAACUUUGACGGUGCUACAAGGUUUAUUUUAGUUAUGUAAACUUUAUUUUUUUAAAAAAAAAAAAUUGGUUACUUUUUUAUGACAA